GUAUAUAUAUAUACACACACCCCCAAAUCAUAGUAACAAGGGCUAAACUUUUAAACCUUUAAGUAGAAGAAAAGCCCAUGAAGAAAUUAUGAAUUUGUUUGUUAACUUCAAUGGGCUUUUCUUGUUGAAGAAAAUGGCCAACAUUUUCCAAUAUAACCACUUUUUCUAGUAAAGGCACAUCUUUUUUCAUUCCACCAUUGUUUAUAUAAUCUUGUGCUCCAUUGUAAGUUGAAUCCAAAUCUCCCACAAUGAACUUCACUGGUACUUUCACUUAUGCACCUGUCCAUGCUGCUGUCAAUUCCCAAUUUCUGCAUUUCAAAGUCGGAGUAGUUUUGUUAGUUAAAAGACAAGAGGGAGUCACUCGGAUGGUAAACAACCCAAGGCUGUGAGUUUCAGUCACUAAUGGAGCAAAAAAAUGUGGGGUUCAAAAUCAAUUGGGCGUCGUGCGGAAGUUAAUAGUUGCAAACCAUAAAGGCGAUAAAUCAACAAAAAAAUGUGUGGGAUUCGAAAUCGGUUGAAUGGUCAUGCAGAAGCUAAUAGUUGCAAAUCAUAAAGAUGAUAAAUCAGAUGACUGGUAAAGUUGUUGCCAUGUGACCAGGAGGUCACGGGUUCAAGCCUUGGAAACAGCCUCUGACAGAAAUGCAAGGUAAGGCUACGUACGAUACACCCUUCUGAUGGGGCCCUUCCUCGGACACCGCGCAUAGCGAUAGUUAUAGUGCACCGAGCUGCCCAUUUUUUUUAUUUAUUUUAUAGUUUUCAGACAUUUCAAUAGCUCAAGAAACUGAUCAAAUGCUAAGGAUAGUGUAUUCGAACACUUGCUCGAGGCAUUUUCUCUAUCCCUUCUCACCCUGGUAAAGCAAGGAUACCUUACGUUCUUGAACCGAAAACCAUAUAUUCACCUGUUGCCCAUCAACGACGCCUUUAAAUCUAAUCUUACGGCCUGGACUCACCCAUCGUGAAUUACUUAGGGGUCGUUUGGUAGAGUGUAUAGGAAUAAUGCAAAAUAUGGUGCAUCAGUAAUGUUUGAAUUAAUAAUAUUUGUGUUAGCUAUGCUUACAUUUUUCUUAUGCAAUAUUUGAUUUGAUGUAUUAAAAAUACAUGAAUUGCAAAAUUUUCUUUUAAAAAAAUAAUUUUUUACAAAAAUACCCUCGGUGGAAAAGAUUUUGAGGAAUAAUUAUGUCUUUAAUCAUGUUAUCCAUUGCAUUACUAAUACCAUAAAUUUUGAGGUAUUAGUAAAUACACACCUCAAUACGCAAUAGAGUGUAUGACUAAUACAAACAUUAGUUAUACAUAGGCUAAAAAUGUACCAAACAAGGUACUAGCAAUACACAUUAAUUAAUGCAUGCAUUCUUUAUUUCAAUACACUCUACCAAACGACCCCUUAAAGGCAUUUACAUGAUCGAACAUUGGACAUUCACUAAAACAAGAAUGAUAGCAUAACAUGACAACAACUUUAUCAGUUAUACCAAGACUCCCCUUCUUUUCUCAAGUUACAUUAUCAGAUUAGAUUAAAAAAGGACAACUCGGUGCACUAAAGCUCCCGCUAUGUGCACAGUCUGGGGAAGGGACCCCACCACAAGGGUGUAUUGUAUGCAGCCUUACCUUGCAUUAGUACCAACGAAUGUUUUCAAGACUUGAACUCGUGACCUCUUGUUCACAUGACAACAAUUUUACCAGUUACUCCAAGGCUCCCCUUCAUUACCGGAUUAAAUUUAAAAAGGGUAGUUCGAUGCACUAAAGCUCCCACUAUGCACAGGGUCGGGGGAAGGUCCCCACCACUGGGGUGUAUUAUACGCAGUCUUGCCUUGCAUUACUAUUAGAGACUGUUCCUAAGGCUUAAACCCGGGAUUCCUAAGGCUUGAACCCGGGACUUCUUGAUCACAUGAAAACAACUUUACCAGAUUAGAUUAAAAAAGCACAGUCCGGUGCACUAAAGCUCCCGCUAUGCGCAGGAUCCGAGGAAGAGCCCUACUACAUGGGUGUAUUGUACGCAAACUUACCUUGCAUUACUGUCGCAGGCUGUUUCCAAAGGCUGGAACCCAUGACCUCUUGUUUACAUGGCGACAACUUUACCAGUUACUCCAAAACUCCCCUUCACUAUCGCAUUAGAGUAAAAAAGGGCAGUCCGGUGUACUAAAGCUCCCGCUAUGCACAGGGUCCGGGGAAGGAUCCCACCACAAGGGUGUAUUGUACGUAGCCUUACCUCGCAUUACUGCCAGAGGCUGCUGUUUUCAAGGCUUCAACUCUUGAUCACAUGACAGCAACUUUACCAAUAACUCCGUUCAAAAUAAUACUAAUUUCCUACUAAAAUGAAAAGUGUCACAAGUCACAACAUACUUUUUAACCAAGCUAUGAAUCAAAGCUACCAACAGAAACUUACAGGUCAAGUGCUCUAUAAUAAUUCAAUCCACCAGUGAAGCCAGUCUUUUCAUAUUUGCUAGCAUAGUAAUCAAUAUCUUUCUCAGAUAGCCAACAAGGCAAAAUUACGGGACUAUCAUCAAAGGGCUUUCCAUUAGGAAUGUAUAAUUUCCCCAACACUUUCUUGGUUCCUAUUUUUGCAUACUCUGCUUCUACUUUUCCAGGUUCCUACAUAAACAAAUUAAACAAUAUAAUAUUAGUCAUAGACAUUGGUAUUUAAGUUAUACAUACUGACAGUAUAAAGAUAUUUAAUGUAAUGUAAUGAAGCAUAACACUCAUAAGGUUCAAAAUCUAUGUUGCUCGAACUCUGAAAUGAUAUUGUUGCAAGGAGAACCUAGUACUCUUUAUAUGUAUCUUUUUGAGGUGUUGUAGACCAAUGUAAAGUUAAGCACAAUAGCGUCUUAUCUUUUAGAUGUUAUGGCCCCAACGGCCAAGUCUUGUAUGUAUAAUUUUGGUUUUUCUCAUCGAUGCAUUAUGUCCAUGUAUGGUAGAUAACUUUUGAUUAUCAUAGUUACAUGCACGAGAAGUACAAGGUUAUGUAUGGGUCACAGACCAUAGAUAACAAAUAUGAAAAGUCUAUUAACUUUCAAACAAAACUCAUCGAUUUAGAAGGUUGAACUCAUCGGCCACAUGUUUUUAUAGCAUGAACUAUAUCGAGUUAACACACCAACAACAACAACAACAGCAACACACCCAGUGUUUAAUCCCAUAAGUCGAGUCUAGAGAGGUUGGUCAUGUGUACCCAAGCCUUAUUCUUACCUUAUAAAGGCGAACUGUAUCAAAUCAAAAUCACCUAAAACUUGUACACUUAAAAUCCUGAAUCCAUCUCUAUUCGAGCCACUAAGAACAUAGAAUGAAACAUACCUGGAAUCUAACAACAUAAAAGUCAUCUCCAAGAAUAGCCUUGAAUGUCUCAACUGGCUUUGCAUUAGGAUUCCUAGGUGAAAAUGGGACACUCAUAUUAACCAAAGCCUUAACUUUAUCAGGCCUGAACAAACAAAGAUACCAAGCAAUCAUAGCACCCCAAUCAUGGCCAACAACAAACACUUCAUCUUGCUCAGGCGCAAUGGUAUUCACAAGUUCCACCAAGUCACCCACAACUCUUAAACAGCUAAAGUUGCUUGGAUCAUCUGUAGGUACUCCUGUCAAGUCAGAGGCGAAUUCAGAAUUUAAAAACUUUAAUAUAAUUCGUAACUUCAAGUUCUUUACAACAAUAACAACAACAACAAUAAUCCCAGCAUAUCCCCACCUAGUGGGGUCUGGAGAAGGUAGAAUGUACGCUGCAGUCCAUACCACUACCUCCGAAGAAGUAGAGAGACUGUUUCCGAUAGAUUAUGAUUCAAGUUGGAGUAUUAUUAGAGUUGAGAGCAAAUAUAAUACGAUAUGCUAACAACAAUGGUAUAAAUGACUUCAACGCAUAACUGCCAUACCCCUAAAUUAUACCCGAAGUUCCUAUGGCACACCAAAACUCAAUGAAGGUUCUACUACACCCUAAACUCAUUUUUCUAUAUUUUUGUUUUCCUUUUUGCCGACGUGGCAGCCAAGUAGCAAAAUAUUUCUGUGGUCCUUUGUGCUAACUUGACAGCCAUGCAUGUUAGCACAAAAGGAGCAUAAAGAUAUAGAAAAAAAAUGAGUUUAUAUAUGGGGUAAUAAGACCAUGGGUGGAGCCACCUAUAACAAAGAGUGGUCACGUGCACAGCCUUUGUUGGAAAAUUAUGUUGCAUGUAUAGGUUAAACGUUAGUUAUUAUGAGUGUGUAUUUAAUUUUGCACAUCCUUUACGCAACUGAAAAGAAAAUUUGCACACUCUUUGUCAAAUUUCUGGCUCCGCCAUUGAAUAAGACCCCGUAAAACAGUGACGGAACUAGAAUUUUCAUUGAGGAGUAUAGAAGUAAAUAUAGGAACUAGUGGAAGGAGGUUCAAUAACUACUAAUAUAUAUAUACAUAAAAAAUGUUUUUACCAUAUGAAACUAGUAUAAAAGGGGUAAACUAGUAUAUAUACUAGUAUAAGUUUCCAUCAAAAGGGGUUAUUCGAACCCCUAGAGCAAAAGUAGCUCCAUCGGCCACUGCCGUAAAGUUUAGGUGUGUCAUAGCAACUUCGCAUAGAGUCUGGAAGGUGCUUGUGCCUUAUCUCAUAAAUUUAAAGAGAACAUACAUGUACACAACAAACAAUAUACCACAUGUGAUCACACAAGUGAGGUCCCGAGAAGGAUAGAAUGUACGCAGAUCUUACCAGUGGUAUCUCCGUAGCCACGAAGAUCAGGAGCCACAGCUCUAUAACCAUGUUCAGCCAUGAAUGAAAUUUGGUGCCUCCAUGAAUACCAUAAUUCUGGGAAUCCAUGAAUAAACAAAACAACAGGACCUUUUCCUUUUUCAACAUAAUGCAUGUUUAUCCCAUUUACUUGUACAAAUUUGUGAUCAAAACUAUAUUCCUCCAUUUCUAAUGAAAUUAAUUUGGUUGUGUGUUCAAUAUAAUAAUCUUUGGUACACUUUUGGGAUGCUAUUUGUACACUUUAUAGAGGUUAAAUAACACGUAAAAUGUAACCAUUCACCUGAUGUUUACGUCAAUGCAAUGAGUACUUUUUUUUUGAGGUUUUCAUCCGAUGUUGGAUAUUCGCAUUGAAACUCGACUAAUUCAAAUUCAUGCCGCAUAGGGUCCAUUCAAUAAUUCUAUCGUCACUCCCUUAAUUUCUUUUUAAUUGCUCUCAUCAUUUUUCGUGAAUCAAUUUGAUUAACUUUUAAAAUUAAAGUAGAUAAAAUUAAUUUAAUUUUUUAAAAUUAAAAAACAAAUAUUUAAAAACUACAUCAAAAAUACUAUUAUAAUGCGCAAGUAGUUAACAUGGUUACUCAAACUAGAUGAGGAAUUUGACACGUAUAGCAAGAUGCUAGAUGAGGAAAGCCAUAAAUUGGCCAAGUGCCAAUUAUAUUAUACCUAUCACUAUUAAUAGAAAGAAAGUCAAAAUUAUUAUUAUUGGAAGAUAACGAAAUGGUAGGAUGGAUAAGAUUUUUCAUUUAUAAAUUAUAUCCUGAAAUGUAUUUUUUUCUUAAAUAAGAUCUUAUGAGAUGCCUAUUUGGGUUAAUUAACGUCACAAAGUGGAUAUCGAACAUCAAAUGAAAUCAAAAUAAAAAUUAUUUGUGCUAGUAUUACUUUAUCCUUAAUGAGAAGAUUCCAGUUCAAAUCUUUGAAAGUUGAGUUGCCUUUGGUAGGGUAUGUUUAGUAGAAUUUUCCAUGCUAUUUUGAUCCACUUAUUAUGGAGAGAUUUACUUAUAAGUUAUACCAAAAGCAAAUGUCUCAUGCACUUGAUGUUUACGUCAAUACAAUGAAUACUUAUUUUUUUUUGGUUUUUAUUCGGUAUCCGAUAUCCACAUUGAAACUCGACUAAUUAAGAUUCGCAUCGCGUAGGUCCCAUUCGGGAGAAGUGCUCCCUACCAAGUAUUUUUCCAUAUUCAGGGCUCGAACCUGAAACCUCUGGUUAAGGGAGAAACAGACCAUCCGCUGAACUAUAUCCUUUGGUGGUGUCAAUAAAAUGAAUACGACGUAACGUAAUGUAUAUGAACAUGUUGUUACGAUUUAAAUAAAGGGCAAAACACAUCGUCAGGCCCCUUAAGUACACGUUAUCUUUCACUUAGGCAACUCAAGUGGACAUUGGUUCAUUUUGGCACUUCAAGUGGCCUUAAAGUGUGCCAUUUUGGUACCUUUUGCUGAGUUGGCAAGGUGCGUAUAUUACACCUCCGCAAAGGUGCGUGAAAGCUAUUUUUUGGCUGAUGUGGCGCCCAAUUUGGCCCACCAACAGUAUAUUAAUUCAUUUUCAUUAAUUUAUAUCUUUUUCCUUAUUUUUAUCCAUCAUUUUUGUCAAUCUUAAGCUUAUUUAAUGGUGAAAAUUAUUGGGAGAGAUUUAAAAAUUAGAUACAUAUUUAGGAGUUCGUCUUGCCAAAAAUAAUAUAUUAACUCAACGCACAUUAAUUUAUACUUCUUUCAAAUUUUUAUCCGUUAUUUUUGUCAAGCUUACUUUAUUUAACGGUAAGAAUUAUUGAGAGAAAUUUAUAUACGCAUUUAAAGGUUCGUGAAGAUUAAAUAAUAAGCACCUUUUUUUUAAUAGGGCAAAAUUGAUGAAGAAAAAUAAAAAAUGAGCAACAUCAACGAAGAAAAACUAAAAAUCAAACAAAAUCGAUGAAGAAAAAAUAGAAAAAUAAAGUUAAAUCAGUGAGAAAAAAUUGAAAUCAAACAAAAUCAAUAAAAACAAAUUAAAAUCGAAGCAUAAAAGCCAAGAAAAAUCAGUGAAAAAAAUUUAAAAAUUGAAGUAAAAUUGAUGAAAGAAAUUAAAAAAUAAAGCUAAAUCCGUGAAAAAAAAUUAAAAUCAAACAAAAUCAAAAAUUAAAAAUUAAAGCAAAAUAGAUGAAGCAAAUCUGAAAAAAAUGAAGCUAAAUUCAUGAAGAAAAUCUAAAAAUCAAGUAAAAUCAGUGAAGAAAAAUUAAAAAUCGAAGCAAAUUCGAUGAAAAAAUUAAGGCAAAACCCAUCGCCAAGCCCCUUAAGUACGCGUCAUCUUUCAUUUAGGCACCUCAAGUGAACAUUGAUUCAUUUUGGCACCUCAAGCGGCCUUCAAAAAAGACACGUGUCCACAUUUUAUUCGUCACUUUCCACCUCAGCUGCGCGUGUAACUCACACACUAAUAUUAUUUUGCUGAUUCAGCAAAACGUGUCAAAGUGACACACUUGAAGGCCGCUUGAGGUGACAAAAUGAACCAAUGUCCACUUGAGAUGCCUAAGUGAAAGAUGACGUGUACUUAAGGAACCUGGCGAUGGAUUUUGCCUAAAUAAAACCUAAUAAUUUUUGUUCAAACCUAAAAUUUGUAUGGAAAAAUUAUUGUAUUUAAUAUGGACAUAUAAUUUAAUUAAAGCCCGAUAAACAAAAAAAAAAUUGGGGUCUAAAAUUCAUAAUUCUUUUGUCACUCCCUUCAUUUUUUUUUAAUUGCUCUUCUCAUUUCUCGUAAGUUAAUUUGAUUAAAUUUUAAAAUUAAAGUAGAUUAGAUUAAUUUAAUUUUUUAAAAUUAAAAUGUAAAUAUUUAAAAAUUACAUCAAAAAUACUAUAAAGAUUAUAAUGAGAAAGUAUUGAACAUGGUUACACAAACUAGAUGAGGAAAGUCAUAAAUUGGCCAAGUGCCAAUUAUAUUAUACCUAUCACUAUUAAUAGAUAGAAAGUCAAAUUAUUAUUAUUGGAAGAUAAUAGUUUGAUGGACCUAUACUAUGUCAUUUUUGUAAGUUGAACAUUUUUACUUACAUGUUUGUCACCUGGAUUCCUGAACCCACUAAAAAUCAAUAUUUUAACUAUUUUUUUGGUGAGUGUAACACACUCUCGCCACGUCAGCUGCCAUGUCAGCUUUCACGUCUGUCACGUCAGUUGCCACAUCAGCCGCCACGCCAUUUUUAAAUAUUACAUUAAAUUUUAUGUUAUUUUUAAAAUGCUACACAAGAAAUUAAAUAUUACUAAAUAAAUUUAAAUAAAUAAACUCUUUUUAUAAAUUGUAGAAAUUCUAAUACACAAACAUUAUUCGAACCUUUUGGUGUAUUUUUCCUUAAAUAAAAUGUUAUGAGAUGUCUAUUCGAAUUAAUUAAAGCCGCCAUACGAUAUCGAACAUCUUCUGACAAAUUAAAAAAAUAUAUAUUACGUUGAGAUGAUAGGUACCUCUCCGUGUUUAAUGACAAGUUUCGAGUUCAAAUCUUGAAUAUUGUAUGUUGCUUUUGGUUGGAACUUUUAGUAGAAUUUUCCAAGUUAUUUUCACCACUUAUAUGGAUAAGUUUACUCCAAAAACAAAUACUAUGUACUAUUGAUACGUGUACCUUUUGAUGAUGAAUUGUGUAGUCAUAAUCAGAGAAGUUUUUUGAGAAUUUUUCCAUCAUUAUAUCCACCAAUACUUUUUAACAAAAAUAAAAUAAAAUAAAUUAGGGGUGGUUUGGUACGAAAAUAAGUAAUUGAAGAAUUAGUAAUGAAGGAAUUACUAAGAGAGAAGUAUCGAUUAUCCCUGAACUUGUCACGUUUUAUUCAUAAUACACUUAAACUUUGACUAGUUCUAAGUAUCCCUCGAACUUGUUAUUUUGCAACAUCGCGUGACCCUUUUUUAUUGAUGUGGCAAAAUGUUUGAGUGUGUGAUGGAAGUAUUUUUAUGCCAAAUCAGCUUUUUCAAUGAUUAAAAACGAAAAAAAUCCAUUUUACUUUAAUUUUUUUUAAAAAUUCAGUUAUCCCUCUUCCUAUUUAUUAUCUCGCUUCCUCCAUUACUUCUAAUCUAAAAAAAAAUUCAUCCGUUUAUUAAUUAGUUUAUGAAAUAAAAAUUUCAUCCGUUAAUUUUGUAAAAAAUCCGUUUAUUAAUCUAAAAAAAAAUUCAUCCGUUUAUUAAUUCAAUCUAAAACUCCAGUUUUCAUUCCUAUGAAAGUCCUUCAAUUUUGUAAUCUUAAUUAUAUAUAUCAUAUGAGUUAUUGCAACUAAGAAAAUGUACUAAAUAUCAAAAACAGAUAUUUUAAAAAUAAUGACAAAACAAACACUAAAGAAAAUAAAUGUAGUUAUAUUGGUUAUCGAGUUUUAGUCACUAACGAUUUGAUUUUCGAUUUAACCGAUAAAAAAAUAUUCAUAAAAUAGAAAAAGUAGUCAUGAAAAAAAAUCGAAUCUUAGUUGCAAUCAAAAUUCUACUUUUAUAUAUAUAUAAGGUGUAAAAUAAUAAUUUAGUAUAAUCUUAUUGGGUUAUCGGUUUACCCAAUAACUUAAUAAAAAAAAUCGAAAUCGAAUCAAUAAUCCAAUAAUAUUUUUUUACAAAAUCAUUAGUAAAUCUUAACCCAAUAACGAUAAAUCAAUAACAUUUUCAUCGGUUCUAUUUUUAUACACCCCUAACUUAAACUGUAAUUUCUUACUCCAUUAAUUAUAAUAAAAAACGUAUUUGUGCAUGUGAGUCUCCUCAAAAUCCUAAUCGAAACAUAAUCGGAAACUACUAUGAAACACUAACCGAAAAAAAAUAAUUUCAUGUUUUGAACACACAAAAAAAAUAUAAAUUUUUAGAUAAUAACUUACUCGAUUGACGAAAAUUAUACCAUUCACUAUUUUGGAGUAGAGAAAAAUUGAAAAAUAUAAUUUUUUUUAGAAAGAAAUCGGAAAAUUAAGGGUAGAAAUGAGUUAUUUUUUAAUAUAGGAUAAAUAUAAGGGAAGUGAAUGGUAUUUAUCCAUGUAAACAGCCACAUCAACAUUUUUAUCCACGUGAACACGCGUGUAUUACAUGCCGUGGACUGUGGGGUGGCGCGACAUACUAAAAGAACAAGUUCGCGCGGGGGGUACUUAGGACUAGUCAAAGUUCAGAUGUACCAUGAAUAAAACGUGACAAGUUCAGCGAGUAAUUGAUACUUCUCUCAGUUAAUAAUGUAGGAAUUAAUAAUAUAGGGAUUGUUGUGCUUGAAUUAUUUUUUAUCAGGUGUUUGAUUUAUUGUAUUAAAAAUUAAAUAUAUCAUAUAUUGAGUUUAAUUUAAAAUGCUACCAAAAGAUCUCCUUUACAGUUAUACCUUUGAAUUUUUGUGAGAUUUUUUAUUUCAUUAAAUUAGUCAAGUUAAAAACUAAAAUAUGAAUAAAAAUGUGUUACUGAUUUUCAAGUGUAAUGUGUCGUUAUCGAAAUCCUUGACAACACAAUGUAUACCCUCCUUAUUCAAUUGAUAUUGGAUUUUAUUUAGCAACGAACAACUCGCUCUAAAUAAUAAAAUGUGUAAACUAAUUUAUUUAAAUAAAUUUAUUCGUACAAAUAUAAAAAAUAAAAUCAAGAAAAUAAAAAAAAAUGCUUAAAAAAUUUUGAGGAAUAUGUUUGUCUUUACACAUAUUAGUCUCAUGGUAUUAAAAUUCAUGAAUUACUAAUACCACCAAAUGAGAUGCAUUAGUUAUACAUCCUAUAAUACCAUGUAGGAUGUAUAAUAUACCCUACAAACAUAGUGCUAAAUAAUACGACACUUAAUACAUGGACUAUUUGUAAUAAUAUACCCUACCAAACGCUCCCUUAGAGUCCAAUAUUUAAGCAGGGUCUAUCGAAAACAGUCACUAGGUAGAGAUAUGUACUGCAUACACUUUAUUCUCUCUAGACCCUACUUUGAUAGGAAUACACUGAAUAUAUUGUUGUAACGAGAAUCCUAUGUAGUCGCUUGGAGAGCUCAUUUCGUUCGUCCCCCCUUUCGUUCUGACAGUACAUAACCUCUCAUGUCACAAUCAUUACUCUUAAGUAAGGGCAUUCCUAACCUUCUCUCCCUUCUUGUCUGAGUAUAUAUUCUAGUCUAGCUGGAACUUGAAGAGAGAGUGGAUGUCGCAUAUCAGCUGUCUUGCUCUUGAUGUCGCUGAGACCAAAUUUAUUACGAUAUAUUUUAAUUUCACGGGGGUUCUAUUACUUCUGAACUAAAUUUUAGUGUAUUUUUAUCAAUCUCUUUAGUUGACGUGGCACCUUUGACAUGAGCCUUAUUUUAUGUAAUAAAGGUGCCACAUCAACACAAAAGAAUGACAAAAAUAUGCUAAAAUUGAGUUUACUGGUUUGAUGUCGCAACUCCAACAAACAAAUAUACACUUGAAACAUAUUACUGGCAAUUUGAUAAUUAUGGUGCUCGCGUCAGUUUGCGUACACCUUGACUAAACCCACAGGUUACCUGCCACAUCGAACCAGCACAUGCAUGUUUGCCUACAAAGAGACUAAUGAAAACAUUAGACGACAAUCUAAUGUUUUAUUUGUACUUUUCGGAAUCAUAUGAGCAAGUAUUAAGUUUGAAUCUGACGUUAUAUGGAUGAAUAAUUUUCUCAGGACUAGAUUUGCAAGGUUUUUAGAUUUAGGGUACAAAUUUCAAAUCAAAGCAUAAAAAAGGGUACAUAUGUAUAAACCAACAUUGUUGGAAAAUCAUUUAUUCAAUAACAUGAAAAGUUAUUACAUAUAUAAAGAAGUGGUGGUCGAGCUGCUGAAGCAGGCAACACUCGGUCGACAUGUCUGCUUAUAAAUCAAACUUCAAAGGGGCUAAACUUUAAAACAUUUAAGUAGAACAAAAGCCCAUGAAGAAAUCAUGAAUUAGUUUGUUAAUUUCAUUGGACUUUUCUUGUUGCAGAAAAUGGCCAACAUUUUCCAAUAUAACCACUUUUUCUAAUAAAGGCACAUCUUUUUUCAUUCCACCAUUGUUUAUAUAAUCUUUUACUC
rnacentral:lncRNA from 1 species